UAACGGCGAGUGAAGCGGCACAGCUCAGAUUUGGAAUCUGGCCCCCCCCGGGGGCCCGAGUUGUAAUCUGGAGAGGAUGCUUCUGGCGCGGCGCCCGGCGAGUUCCCUGGAAACGGGACGCCGGAGAGGGUGAGAGCCCCGUUACUCCGGGCCGCCUAGCCUCUGCGAAGCUCCUUCGACGAGUCGAGUAGUUUGGGAAUGCUGCUCUAAACGGGAGGUAAAUUUCUUCUAAAGCUAAAUACCGGCCAGAGACCGAUAGCGCACAAGUAGAGUGAUCGAAAGAUGAAAAGCACUUUGAAAAGAGGGUCAAACAGUACGUGAAAUUGUUGAAAGGGAAGCGCCCGUGGCCAGACUUGCGCCCCGCGGCUCAACCCGGCGGAACCCCGCCGGGGCACGCCGCGGGGCGCAGGCCAGCAUCGGCUUCCCCAGGGGGAACAAGGACGGCGGGAACGUGGCUCCUCCGGGAGUGUUAUAGCCCGCCGCGCCAUGUCACCCUGGGGGGGCCGAGGAUCCGCGCUUCGG
rnacentral:rRNA from 2 species